rnacentral:rRNA from 1 species
GACGAACGCUGGCGGUGUGCCUAAUACAUGCAAGUCGAGCGAGCCUCCGGAGGUGCUUGCACCUCCGGAAGGCCAGCGGCGGACGGGUGAGUAACACGUGGGCAACCUGCCUUUGAGGCCGGGAUAACACCGGGAAACCGGUGCUAAUACCGGAUACGUCCUCUUUCGCGCCUGCGAGAGGGGAGAAAGACGGUCUUUAAGGCCGUCGCUCAAAGAGGGGCCCGCGGCGCAUUAGCUGGUUGGUGGGGUAAGGGCCUACCAAGGCGACGAUGCGGUGCCGACCUGAGAGGGGGAUCGGCCACACUGGGACUGAGACACGGCCCAGACUCCUGCGGGAGGCAGCAGUAGGGAAUCAUCCGCAAUGGGCGAAAGCCUGACGGUGCAACGCCGCGCGAGUGAGGAAGGUUUUCGGAUCGUAAAGCUCUGUUGUGAGGGAAGAACAGCUUCCGGAGGAAAUGCCGGAGGUUUGCCGGUACCUCGCCAGAAAGCCCCGGCUAACUACGUGCCAGCCGCCGCCGUAA